rnacentral:lncRNA from 1 species
GUGCAUACAUUUAUGUAUAUAAAUGUCAUAUAAUGUCCAUUAUGAAGUAAUAUACAUUAUGACAAAUAAUAUCCAUUAAGUAAGUUGUAUGUUCAGUAAUGUAUAACUAAUCUCUGUAAAUUUCUUACUCUUGUUAAGAAACCUGGGAGACUCUUCAUGAAAUGUUGAAUCAAGAGAAAGAUGGAGAUCAGACUAAGGACUGAAUGUAUAGAAGUGUCAUCUUGACAACAUGCUAUCCUGAUUUUCUUAUUCACUGUAUUGUCUGUCUCGCUUCCUCUAACGGAUGCCUGGGUGGCUCAGCUGUUGAGUGUCUGCCUUUGGCUCAUGGCAUGAUCCCGUCCCCUCAGAUGGAGUCCACAUUGAGCUCCCUAGAGGAGCCAGCUUCUCCCUCUGUCUAUGUCUCUGCCUCUCUCUGUGUGUCUCUCAUGAAUAAAAUCUUUUUUAAAAAUUUCCUUUAAGUGUGCAGUGAUACCUCCUUAUGGUUGUAAUUUACAUUUCUCUGGUGCUUAAAAGUGUUUAGCACUAUUUCAUAUGCUUAUUUGUUCUUGUUUUUUAAAGAUUUUACAUAAGGUGUGAAGAAUGUGUAGGUUUCUUUUAUUUUGUCUAUCUUAAGGUCCAAAUGUUCCAGUGAAAUUUCCUUGUAAAGACUAUAAUUUGUUGAAAUGCAUUUUCACCUCUGUCAAAAACUACAUCUUUUUUUUUUUUUUUUUUUGGAUGGGUCUAUUUAUGAAGCCUCUAUCUACUCUGUUCCAUUGAUCUGUGUGUCUAUCAUUUCAACAAUACCAUUUUCUCUUGGAUAUCAUAGUUUUAUUCGUAAGUUGUGAUAUAGG